rnacentral:rRNA from 1 species
UACGUAGGAGGCGAGCGUUGUCCGGAAUCACUGGGUGUAAAGCGCGUGUAGGCGGCCUGCCAAGUCUGCUGUGAAAGCGCCUGGCUUAACCGGGCGAGGUCGGUGGAAACUGGCGGGCUGGAGGCUGGUAGAGGGGGGUGGAAUUCCCGGUGUAGUGGUGAAAUGCGUAGAGAUCGGGAGGAACACCAGCGGCGAAGGCGGCGCUCUGGGCCGGAACUGACGCUGAGGAGCGAAAGCGUGGGUAGCAAACAGG